AGAAUAAACCACUUUUGCCACUGACAUGGGCAUCGCGCCCACGCCGCAGCUGUCCAUAUAAAGCAGUGAAGUGUACCAGUGUCCCAAAAGAAACCAGAUCCAGCGGGGAAACAGCAUCCACCACAUAUUCGCUAAAGAUCGCGACCGUGUCUGCUGGAGCGGCGUGGAUGCGGAGAGAUCUCCGGGUCUGGAGGUUUAGUAGUAGCGAAAGUUUAGGACCGCGCUCCGCAAAUCCCAAGUGGGAUCUAACUCCAUGAAUUACAGUGACCUGUCUGGUCCCAGGACGAAUCCCAGCCGGGUUACAGUUAUGAUCAACUUAAUUAAAAGGGGGACGGGGGGGAGUUCUCCGACAGUUGCAGUCGCUGUUCCACAGUAGACUGCGGAGACACCUGUGCGUAAGGCGCUGGCUGCCUUAACCCUUACACUGCCCUGGUCCUCCCGCAGAGACCAACACAACAGUCAGACAUCCACAGAAAUGUUGGAGAGAUAUUUUAUUUUAUUUUAUUUGUCCUUAAUCGAGUAUUAAACAAGUCCGUUAAUUCGCUUUAAUUCAGUUUUUAAAAUAAAUAAACAACUUUGAAUUUCAGCAAUAUAUAUAUAUAAUAAAUUAACAUCCCUUUGGAGAACACAUUUCACCUAAGAUCAGCUAAAAUACAGGAAUUUGGAAGAUGCAUCGUCAUCUUGGACUAAAUAAUAAAAUAAUUUUAUACGAACUAAAAAAUAGCUCUUCACUGGCACGAAGGACAAGUCUCCAGAAGAUGGCACCAAACUCACCAAACAAAAGUCUUCAGGUAGCUCCAGACUCAUGCUGUAUGAAACACACGAACAAAAAAGAACAUUAAGGGUAACACAUACUGAUUUAUGUAUACAUUAUAUAUAUUUAGUAAUUUUAAAGUAAUCCUCAACUCCCCAUAGUGUCACAUGUAUAAAAAACAAAACAAGGAAAUGCAAUGAUUUCUGUGUACCUCAAAAUGACUGUAAAUAUAUGCAAGAAUAAGCUGUAUUAUUAUUAUUUUAAAAUCAUUAAAAUUACACAGGGUUGGAAUCACAGGUGCUUUUGUUAAUGUUUUUGUAAAUUCUUCUUUUCGUUCUGUUUUUGUACCUGUAAACCUCUGCAGAGUUUCCUGACAGAUAACAACCCUGUGUUUCCCCAGGUGCCUGCUGCGACAAACCAGCUGCCGCUGCAGCAUCAUGGCUGUCUGUCAUGGAAACACAAAUAUUUUUCUUCAGAUCUGAGUUUUCCAAAUGGGGGGUUGUGACCUACAGGUGGGAUGCCUGAAUACAUUUGCCAUCAAACAAUCUCCAGUAUGAAGAAGUCCUUUCCAAUAAAGUGUGGUUUCCAAGCAACCUCUGGAAAAUGAGUCCAUGCUUCCCAAGCCGAGUCCCUGCUGAGUCCAAAGAGGCCCGGUGCUCUCCAGGCCAGGCCCUGCGGUCUCAGUCUGGUCUGUUGUCUGUGAGUUCUCUGUGAAAACACUGGUUCACAGACAAACUGAGACGUGGACUAAGAUGUUUCCAGUCUGAUGAGUUCUGACAUUUCAGACACUGCAGUCCUGGACUAGACAUGGGCAAACUACGGCUUGUGGGCCAGAUACAGCCCGCUAAGCUUUCUAAUCUGGUCUACCAAAGACUGGUAAAACAUAUGCCAAAACUGGACAGGCCCGCCAGUCAAAUGUUGACCCGUGAGCCAAGACGUUUGCCCACCCGUGCCCUAGACUGAGAAACUUAGUCAAGGCCGACAUAGUUGGUGAGUGAUUUUAUUAUAUUCAUUGUGCAGAUAUGGACAAUCGUUCUUUCUCUUUAAUAGUUUUGAUAAACAACUGAAUAAAAACAAUUGUACAAACAAGAAUACUUUCAAAGAUGAACUUUAUGAAACAAAAAUGAGUUUAUCUGAACUGAUAGCAAUUACAGGUAUAAAUGUGUGUAAUGUUGGAUUACACAACCCGCUGUUAGAAUCUUGAAUAUUGAUGCUACAUCGUCGAAGGACCAAGGCAUCGGGACACUGGUUCCCUACAGUCUAAAGACGAAAAGCGACAUUUCAUUAACAGAAAAUGUUAAUAUUCUAAAUUUAAACACAAGUUUAAUCUGACCAAAGAAUUAAAAGUGCAUCUUCUCUGGUCCAACCCAAGUCCAAAUUCUGCUGCUUUGCUCCCUCUAGUGUCUAAAUCAGCUACAGCAUGGAUUUGAAACAUUCAAAUUAUUAAUUUAAGGUGAGAAUUGACUUUGUUGAAUCUGACUGACUGAUCCGAGCUUCUCUGAGAAACCAGGCAGGAAGUGAUUUAAUGAUUUCCACCGUGCUUUAUCAAAGAACAGGUACAGAUGUCCACCACAAAAACAAUCGACUUAAACAGCGCCCAAAGUUUUUUUUAUCUACAAGUAGACAGGACGUAGA